CCUACGGGAGACUGCAGUGGGGAAUAUUGCGCAAUGGGCGAAAGCCUGACGCAGCGACGCCGCGUGAGGGAUGAAGGUCUUCGGAUCGUAAACCUCUGUCAGCAGGGAAGAACGGUCACUGUGCUAAUCAGCAGUGAAUUGACGGUACCUGCAAAGGAAGCACCGGCUAACUCCGUGCCAGCCGCCGCGGUAAUACGGAGGGUGCGAGCGUUAAUCGGAAUUACUGGGCGUAAAGCGCUCGUAGGCGGUAUGUCAAGUCAAGGGUGAAAUCCCCGCGCUCAACGUGGGAACUGCCUUUGAAACUGGCAAACUGGAGUGUGUGAGAGGAUAGUGGAAUUCCAGGUGUAGGAGUGAAAUCCGUAGAUAUCUGGAGGAACAUCAGUGGCGAAGGCGACUAUCUGGCACAUAACUGACGCUGAGGAGCGAAAGCGUGGGUAGCAAACAGGAUUAGAUACCCCAGUAGUC
rnacentral:rRNA from 1 species